UUUGUACUCCCUCCGUUCCGAAUUACUUGUCUUGGAUUUGUCUAGAUACGGAUGCAUCUAGACUCAUUUUAGUGCUAGAUACAUCCGUAUCUAGAUAAAUCUAAGACAAGUAAUUCGGAACGGAGGGAGUAAUUU
rnacentral:pre_miRNA from 1 species